ACCAUUUUUUGUUUAUAUAUUAGUAUUGCAUACUAAGAAAGGAAAAUUUUAUUAUAAAUAAAAAAUAGAAAUAAAAGGUAGAAAAAUAAUAAGAUUUAUUAUUACAAAAUAUAUAAUAUUAUUUUUAGUGUUGAUAUGUCGACUUUUAUUAUAACUGUAUUAAUUUAAGUAUUAGAAAAUUAUACUUUUUAUAUUUUUUAAUAAAUAUUUAUAAUUUGAAGUGUUUAAAUUUUAAGUUUUAUAACUUUAUUUAUUGUAGUAACAAUGUUUAUUUAAAAAAUUAAUAAUAUUUUAUUAAUUAUAUAAUCUUUUUAUAAGUAGAUUUAUAAAAACUAUGAAUUAAUUUAAUUUAAUUUAAUAACUAAAAUUUUUAUCAAAUGUUUUUUAAAGACUUAUGUCUUAAUUUAAGAUUAGCUUCUGCUCUAUGAUUUUUAAAUGGCAGUCUUAGCGUGAGGACAUUAAAGUAGCAAAAUAAAUUGUGUUUUUAAUGAAUUCCGGUAUGAAUGAAGUUAUUGGUAAAUUUUAUUUAUGUUUUUUUGUUGAAUUUAAUAUUUAUUUAAUAAAAAAUAAAUGUAUUUAUACAAAGAUAAGUCUUUGGAAAUUCUUCUUCUAUUUAAUUUUGUUAAAUUAGAGGGUUAUCUAGGGUAGAUUUUUAUGUAAUUUAAUUUACUAAUAAUAUACAAAUGAAUUACUCCAGAGUUAACAGAAAAUCAUGCUUUAUAUAGUUGUUAUAUUAAGGUAAGUUUUACAUCGAUGUUGUAUUUUAAUUUUUGAAAGAGGAGAAGGUUCAUAUAUUUAGACUGUUCUUCUAUUAAUUAAUUAAACGUGAUAUUAGUUUAAUUCAUCGUGAGAUAGAAUUGUUUAUCUUGAUAAUUAUUUAGUUUGAAAACGUUUAGUACGAAAGGAAAAUUGUAAAAGUUUUAAACUUUAGAGUAACUUAUUAUGA
rnacentral:rRNA from 1 species